GAGAUAUAUAUUGUCUCAUAUAUAUUUGAUGAAUUUAAAUUUUUAGUAAAAAUGCUUAAAUAAUUUUAUGGGACGAUAAGACCCUAUAGAAUUUUAUAUUAAUAUUUUAUUAAUUAUUUAAUUAAAAUAUUAAUAUUUAAUUGGGAGGAUUAAUAAAUUUAAAAAACUUUAUUUUAAAAAUAAACUUUGAUUUUAGAAUUAAUUUUUGAUCUUUUAUUAUAAAUCAAAAGAAUAAAUUACCUUAGGGAUAACAGCGUAAUAUCUUUUUAAAGAUCAUAUUUAAAAAGAUGUUUGCGACCUCGAUGUUGAAUUAAGAUAAAUUUUAAACGGAGAAGUUUAAUAAUUAAGUCUGUUCGACUUUUAAAAUCUUACAUGA
rnacentral:rRNA from 1 species